rnacentral:rRNA from 1 species
AUGAGGAGAAGUCUGAGGAGCACGCCGCGUGAGUGAUGAAGGUUUUCGGAUCGUAAAGCUCUGUUGUUAGGGAAGAACAAGUGCGAGAGUAACUGCUCGCACCUUGACGGUACCUAACCAGAAAGCCACGGCUAACUACGUGCCAGCAGCCGCGGUAAUACGAA